UCGCUGUAAAUCUAUCUAUAGAUCUCUUUCGAAAUACUGUCGCAGUUCUUAACUCGACGGACAUCGAAGUGCAUCAUCAAAUAUGGAAAGCUGAGCUCGCUUCUCUACGAUCACCAUUUUGAUUAUCGCACUCGCCCUUCUUCACUCAGGCGAGGCAAUACGAUGCUACUCCUGCAGCUCGGAACAAAGCAAUACUUGCGCAAAUGCACCCGAAUCGUAUGAAAAGAGCGAUUGUGCGGCCUCGGUGGGUUCCUGCAUGACAUGUAACGGCCGAAAUACCGAAGGCAGUUCGUUUGUCCUCCGUGGCUGUUUCGGCAUUCUCUCUAAUCUUGUUUCUGAUAAUAUGGAGUGUUCAGUUUGCAGUGAGGAUCUCUGUAAUGGCAAUGGGAGCCUCCCGUUAUCAAUUAGCGUGGCAGCCCUCGGAGGACUUGUAUUGUUAUGGGCGACUCGCUUCGUUCUUAUAGAUUUUUAAUAAUUUCUGAGCUCGUAAUGUUAACGUUCUGCCAUUAAGAAAUGGAAAAAUAAAUUUUUAAGCUUGUCAUAUUGUAACGUAUUUUACUUUGCAACGUUUAUUUUACUUCGCUCUGUAUUCAUUAUUAUAUAUUAAAUAUCUCGAAUGCUGAGCGAA